rnacentral:tRNA from 1 species
GGGCGAUUAACUCAGUGGUAGAGUGUCUCGUCGACAUCGAGAAAGUCACAAGUUCGAACCUUGUAUCGCCCACCA